rnacentral:rRNA from 1 species
GGAAUUGUUCGCAAUGGGCGCAAGCCUGCCGACCCAAUGCCGCGUGGAGGAUGAAGGUCUUCGGAUUUUCAACUCCUGUUGCUCGGGAAGAAAGGCUCCGACCUAAUACGCCGGAGUGUGCCGGUACCGGGUGAGGAAGCCCCGGCUAACUCUGUGCCAGCAGCCGCGGUAAUACAGAGGGGGCAAGCGUUGUUCGGAAUUACUGGGCGUAAAGGGCGCGUAGGCGGCCUGUUAAGUCGAACGUGAAAUCCCCGAGCUCAACUCGGGAACUGCGUUCGAUACUGGCAGGCUUGAAUCCGGGAGAGGGAUGUGGAAUUCCAGGUGUAGCGGUGAAAUGCGUAGAUAUCUGGAGGAACACCGGUGGCGAAGGCGGCAUCCUGGACCGGUAUUGACGCUGAGGCGCGAAAGCCAGGGGAGCAAAC